GAAAUGCUCUAUGUGAGAGAGCAAGCUUGAGCUUUGUCGUUCUGGGCUGGGGUGACGUGUAGAAAUGCCUGAACCACGUAAUCACGGGACGGAAGAGAAGCUGCUGCAACAGAUACAUACCACUGCAGAGGUGUGCAGCUGAGGAAGCAGGUCCCCAGAGUUUGGCCCAGCAGGGAAUAAAAGCCCCGUUUCACCUUUCUCUUCAUGCCAAUCUUCUUUUCUCUGGGUCAUUUUAAUGAAAACAUGGUUUGAACGGGAGAAAAAAGGAUACAAGGAAUAUGUCAGAGAGAGAUCUGAGCCUGGAGCUGAAGGGCAGAGAUAAACGCAGGUCCUGGCUCUGAUUCUAGCCCCUAAGAAAUAUAUAUUUCAAUCAAGAAUUUAAGAAUUGAUAAGCAAACUUGACGGCGAUACCUCUACCUGGAACAGAAUAGGGACUCUGGAAAUAGACCCACGUGUAUAUGGUCAACUGAUUUUCAACAAGGACGGUAAGGCAAUUCAAUGGGAGAAAGGAAAAUCUUUUCAACAAAUUUUGCUGGAAUAACUACAUAGCCAUUUGGGGAAAAAAAUUAACAUUGACCCUUACUUCACACUAGACACAAAAAUUAACUCAAAAUGAAUGAC
rnacentral:lncRNA from 1 species